rnacentral:rRNA from 1 species
UACCAGCACCCCGAGUGGUCGGGACGUUUAUUGGGCCUAAAGCAUCCGUAGCCGGUUCUACAAGUCUUCCGUUAAAAUCCACCUGCUUAACAGAUGGGCUGCGGAAGAUACUAUAGAGCUAGGAGGCGGGAGAGGCAAGCGGUACUCGAUGGGUAGGGGUAAAAUCCGUUGAUCCAUUGAAGACCACCAGUGGCGAAGGCGGCUUGCCAGAACGCGCUCGACGGUGAGGGAUGAAAGCUGGGGGAG